CCUCACUCGGUCCUCGGAUGGGGCGAACCUUUUUCCCGGUUGGCUGGUUUUGGCGUUGGUUCCUUGAGGAAGAAUAGAGAUGUCAUUCGAACUCACCACCCACCCAGGCGAUCUUUAAAAAAAAAAAAAAGCUUUUAAAAAAAUAAAUAAAUACAUUGGGCUGUGCUCUGUCUGGGGGACCUUCAUCAAUGGAAGCUUUCAAGAAGAGAACUGGACUGCCAUCUGUCAGAAAUGCUGUAAAACAUGAACUUUGCAAGAAGCAAGCAAGAGAUUUUGCAAUGAUGAAGACCCAUAACUUAUCCCUGCUUCGGAAUGGUGACCAGAGCACUACGGAGCAAUUCAUUCCAAGCCAUUUGGCUCUUCUCUGCCCGAGCCAUGGGUGAUGACAGGACUCCUUUAAGAGCUUGCAGUGAUGCAGCAACAGUCAUAGAGGGAAGUUGAGAAGCAAAUUCUGAAGGCAAAGUUAAGAGAGCAAAAUCCUGAAGUGCAGCAAGCCAGAGUUUGCUCAGAUUCCCUAGAUCCACUUGGACUAAAUCCAGAAGUUCAUCCA